CCUACGGGGGGCAGCAGUGGGGAAUAUUGGACAAUGGGGGGAACCCUGAUCCAGCCAUGCCGCGUGUGUGAAGAAGGCCCUCGGGUUGUAAAGCACUUUCAGUGAGGAAGAACGCCUGGUGGUUAAUACCCAUCAGGAAAGACAUCACUCACAGAAGAAGCACCGGCUAACUCCGUGCCAGCAGCCGCGGUAAUACGGAGGGUGCGAGCGUUAAUCGGAAUUACUGGGCGUAAAGCGCGCGUAGGUGGCUUGAUAAGCCGGUUGUGAAAGCCCCGGGCUCAACCUGGGAACGGCAUCCGGAACUGUCAAGCUAGAGUGCAGGAGAGGAAGGUAGAAUUCCCGGUGUAGCGGUGAAAUGCGUAGAGAUCGGGAGGAAUACCAGUGGCGAAGGCGGCCUUCUGGACUGACACUGACACUGAGGUGCGAAAGCGUGGGUAGCAAACAGGAUUAAAUACCCUGGUAGUC
rnacentral:rRNA from 1 species